AACGAACGCUGGCGGCAUGCCUAACACAUGCAAGUCGAACGAGACCUUCGGGUCUAGUGGCGCACGGGUGCGUAACGCGUGGGAACCUGCCCUUAGGUUCGGAAUAACUCCCCGAAAGGGGUGCUAAUACCGGAUAAUGUCUUCGGACCAAAGAUUUAUCGCCUUUGGAUGGGCCCGCGUUGGAUUAGCUAGUUGGUAGGGUAAAAGCCUACCAAGGCGACGAUCCAUAGCUGGUCUGAGAGGAUGAUCAGCCACACUGGGACUGAGACACGGCCCAGACUCCUACGGGAGGCAGCAGUGGGGAAUAUUGGACGAUGGGCGAAAGCCUGAUCCAGCAAUGCCGCGUGAGUGAUGAAGGCCGUAGGGUUGUAAAGCUCUUUUACCCGGGAUGAUAAUGACAGUACCGGGAGAAUAAGCUCCGGCUAACUCCGUG
rnacentral:rRNA from 1 species